AUUGAACGCUGGCGGCAGGCCUAACACAUGCAAGUCGAACGAGUGGCGGACGGGUGAGUAAUGUCUGGGAAACUGCCUGAUGGAGGGGGAUAACUACUGGAAACGGUAGCUAAUACCGCAUACCAUCGGAUGUGCCCAGAUGGGAUUAGCUAGUAGGUGGGGUAAAGGCUCACCAGGGCGACGAUCCCUAGCUGGUCUGAGAGGAUGACAAGCCACAUGGGAACUGAGAAGCGGUCCAAACUCCUAGGGGGGGGAGCAGCGGGGAAUAUGGCACAGUGGGCGGAAGCCUGAUGCAGCCAUGCCGCGUGUAUGAAGAAGGCUUUCGGGUUGAAAAGUACUUUCAGCGUGGAUGCUUUACCCGCUGAAGAAGCACCGGCUAACUCCGUGCCAGCAGCCGCGGUAAUA
rnacentral:rRNA from 1 species